rnacentral:lncRNA from 1 species
AUGGAGUUAAAACAGUUUCUGGAAAGCCAGUUGGAUCGGCAAAAGAAGAAAAAUGAUGGAUUAGAAAAAGAGAUUACUGGAUUGAAGGAACGCUUGGAAAUGGCAAGAAGGGAAGUAAAUGAACAUGAAAAAGCAGAGCUUAGUGCCCAAGGUGUUGUAAAAAGCAGUCCAGCUGAAAUGGAUAUUCAGAUAGAUACGCUAAAACAUAAGACACAAGCAGCAUCUCAAGAAAACUUAGUGCAACAUCUGGAAUCUGAACACUCCAAAGAAAACACUUCUCAUGAAUCUUCUUGUAAAACAGAAUUGGAAAAAUAUAAGCAACUCUACCUAGAAGAAUUAAUAUUGAGAAAGUCGCUGGGAAAAAAAAACUCAACAAGUAAGUUAAAACAGAGUCAUAAGCAGAGUGCUUUAGAGGCUUUGCCAUGUAGACAGUGAUAUAAUUAUAAAAUUUCUUGUUGGAUUUCCUAUAAAUAGGAAUGUUAUCAAGUUUAACUACUUUUUGGAAGAGGAUACCUUAAACUUAAAGGGUCACAUUCUGGCUGUUGACACAUUUACCUUCUUGAUUAUGAUAUUUGCUCUCAUCCCUAGAGGGUGCUGUGAAGGCAAACUCUGAUGUAUCCCCUU